rnacentral:rRNA from 1 species
GAUGAACGCUAGCUUCAGGCUUAACACAUGCAAGUCGAGCGACCGGCGCACGGGUGAGUAACACGUAUCCAACCUUCCCUUUUCUCGUGGUUAGCCUUUCGCAAGUAAGAUUAAUUCCCGAUAUAAAGGAUGGGGAUGCGUUCCUUUAGGUUGUUGGUGCGGUAACGGCUCACCAAGCCGUCGCUGGAUAGGGGUUCUGAGAGGAAGGUCCCCCGCAAUGGAACUGAGACACGGACCAAACUGCGACGGAGGGCAGCGGAGAGGAAUAUAGGUGAAUGGGCGCUAGCCUGAACCAGCCAGGUAGCGUGAAGGAUGAAGGCUUAGGGGUCGUAAACAUGUUUUAUAUAAGGAUAUGUAUUAUAUGAAUAAGGAUCGGCUAACUCCGUGCCAGCAGCCGCGGUAAUUC